rnacentral:rRNA from 1 species
GUUGAACGCUGGCGGCAGGCCUAACACAUGCAAGUCGAGCGGCAGCGGAAAGUAGCUUGCUACUUUGCCGGCGAGCGGCGGACGGGUGAGUAAUGUCUGGGAAACUGCAUGAUGGAGGGGGAUAACUACUGGAAACGGUAGCUAAUACCGCAUGACCUCGAAAGAGCAAAGUGGGGGAUCUUCGGACCUCACGCCAUCGGAUGUGCCCAGAUGGGAUUAGCUAGUAGGUGAGGUAAUGGCUCACCUAGGCGACGAUCCCUAGCUGGUCUGAGAGGAUGACCAGCCACACUGGAACUGAGACACGGUCCAGACUCCUACGGGAGGCAGCAGUGGGGAAUAUUGCACAAUGGGCGCAAGCCUGAUGCAGCCAUGCCGCGUGUGUGAAGAAGGCCUUAGGGUUGUAAAGCACUUUCAGCGAGGAGGAAGGCAUCAUACUUAAUACGUGUGGUGAUUGACGUUACUCGCAGAAGAAGCACCGGCUAACUCCGUGCCAGCAGCCGCGGUAAUACGGAGGGUGCAAGCGUUAAUCGGAAUUACUGGGCGUAAAGCGCACGCAGGCGGUUUGUUAAGUCAGAUGUGAAAUCCCCGCGCUUAACGUGGGAACUGCAUUUGAAACUGGCAAGCUAGAGUCUUGUAGAGGGGGGUAGAAUUCCAGGUGUAGCGGUGAAAUGCGUAGAGAUCUGGAGGAAUACCGGUGGCGAAGGCGGCCCCCUGGACAAAGACUGACGCUCAGGUGCGAAAGCGUGGGGAGCAAACAGG